GACGAACGCUGGCGGCGUGCUUAACACAUGCAAGUCGAACGGAAAGGCCCUGCUUUUGUGGGGUGCUCGAGUGGCGAAAGGGUGAGUAACACGUGAGUAACCUGCCCUUGACUUUGGGAUAACUUCAGGAAACUGGGGCUAAUACCGGAUAGGAGCUCCUGCUGCAUGGUGGGGGUUGGAAAGUUUCGGCGGUUGGGGAUGGACUCGCGGCUUAUCAGCUUGUUGGUGGGGUAGUGGCUUACCAAGGCUUUGACGGGUAGCCGGCCUGAGAGGGUGACCGGCCACAUUGGGACUGAGAUACGGCCCAGACUCCUACGGGAGGCAGUAGUGGGGAAUAUUGCACAAUGGGCGGAAGCCUGAUGCAGCAACGCCGCGUGCGGGAUGACGGCCUUCGGGUUGUAACCCGCUUUCGCCUGUGACGAAGCGUGAGUGACGGUAAUGGGUAAAGAAGCACCGGCUAACUACGUG
rnacentral:rRNA from 1 species